GACCGCGUAGCUCAGUUGGCAGAGCAUUGGGCUAGUAUUCCAAAGGUCGUAGGUUCGAUUCCCACCGUGGCCA